rnacentral:rRNA from 1 species
GAUCCUGGCUCAGAUUGAACGCUGGCGGCAGGCUUAAUACAUGCAAGUCGAACGGUAACAUGAAGAAGCUUGCUUCUUUGAUGACGAGUGGCGGACGGGUGAGUAAUGCUUGGGAAUCUAGCUUAUGGAGGGGGAUAACUACGGGAAACUGUAGCUAAUACCGCGUAGUAUCGAGAGAUGAAAGUGUGGGACCUUCGGGCCACAUGCCAUAGGAUGAGCCUAAGUGGGAUUAGGUAG